GAUGAACGCUGGCGGCGUGCCUAAUACAUGCAAGUCGAGCGAACAGACGAGAGUGCUUGCACUCUCUGACGUUAGCGGCGGACGGGUGAGUAACACGUGGGUAACCUACCUAUAAGACUGGGAUAACUUCGGGAAACCGGAGCUAAUACCGGAUAAUAUUUAGCUUCGCAUGAAGCAAUAGUGAAAGACGGUUCUGCUGUCACUUAUAGAUGGACCCGCGGUGUAUUAGCUAGUUGGUGAGGUAACGGCUCACCAAGGCAACGAUACAUAGCCGACCUGAGAGGGUGAUCGGCCACACUGGGACUGAGACACGGCCCAGACUCCUACGGGAGGCAGCAGUAGGGAAUCUUCCGAAAUGGACGAAAGUCUGACGGAGCAAUGCCGCGUGAGUGAAGAAGGUUUUCGGAUCGUAAAACUCUGUUGUAAGGGAAGAACAAGUACGUUAGUAACUGAACGUACCUUGACGGUACCUUACCAGAAAGCCACGGCUAACUACGUG
rnacentral:rRNA from 1 species